ensembl:snRNA U4 U4 spliceosomal RNA
AGCUUUGCGCAGUGGCAGUAUCGUAGCCAAUGAGGUUUAUCCGAGGCACGAUUAUUGCUAAUUGAAAACUUUUCCCAAUAAAUAAAUAAAAUUUAAAAAAAAAAAGGCUUUUCAUAUUACUUUACAUUUUAGGUAUUUUUCCCCAAAU